AACGAACGCUGGCGGCAUGCCUAACACAUGCAAGUCGAACGAGAUGCCUUCGGGUAUCUAGUGGCGCACGGGUGCGUAACGCGUGGGAAUCUGCCCUGGGGUCUGGGAUAACCGUUGGAAAAGACGGCUAAUACCGGAUGAGGAUGAAAAUCCAAAGAUUUAUCGACCUGGUAUGAGCCCGCGUCGGAUUAGCUAGUUGGUGGGGUAAAGGCCUACCAAGGCGACGAUCCGUAGCUGGUCUGAGAGGAUGACCAGCCACACUGGGACUGAGACACGGCCCAGACUCCUACGGGAGGCAGCAGUGGGGAAUAUUGGACAAUGGGCGCAAGCCUGAUCCAGCAAUGCCGCGUGAGUGAUGAAGGCCUUUGGGUUGUAAAGCUCUUUUACCCGGGAUGAUAAUGACAGUACCGGGAGAAUAAGCCCCGGCUAACUCCGUGCCAGCCGCCGCAGUAA
rnacentral:rRNA from 1 species